rnacentral:rRNA from 1 species
UACGGAGGGUGCAAGCGUUAUCCGGAUUCACUGGGUUUAAAGGGUGCGUAGGCGGGCAGGUAAGUCCGUGGUGAAAUCUCUGAGCUUAACUCAGAAACUGCCAUGGAUACUAUUUGUCUUGAAUAUUGUGGAGGUAAGCGGAAUAUGUCAUGUAGCGGUGAAAUGCUUAGAUAUGACAUAGAACACCAAUUGCGUAGGCAGCUUACUACACGAUCAUUGACGCUGAGGCACGAAAGCGUGGGGAGCAAACAGG